ensembl:lncRNA
UCAGUGUAUGUUUUAAUGUUCUUGAAAUUUUUCUUGGGAGAAAAAUUUGCUUUAUGGUACUAAUUAUCCCCUAUGUAUAUUCUCUUGUUUUACAGACUGAGAAAUUAGGAGAUACCUAUUACCUUUUAAAAAGAAAUGUAGUCCUUGCUGAUACUGGGAAAUAUAUCUGUGUUGCCAGCAAUGAAAUUGGAAAGGCCCACUGUUCUGCUUUCGUGACGGUGAUAGAGAAAAAUAAACCCCCCAACACUUCCAGUGUAACUCAGGCUAAACCAGAAUGUGAAGAUGGAUACUUUUCAGAAGAAGUGAAUGUCACCACAGCGGAGCUAGUACAAGCCCAGGACACACCAUGUGGGAGAGAAGAAAGGCCAGUGGCUAAAUGUACUCCAGUAAGGUUUAAAGAGAAACUUUGGUUUCAAGGAGUGCAUCUUGAACUUGACAGACCAUAAGAGAUUAACUUCAAUUUGAGGCAUGAUCCCAUUCUUCUGCCUGAUGCAGUGGAACAGAAGAUGGACUGAACUGCAAGAUGCCUGAUUCCUGAGCAUGUUUGUGGUGUUUGCUGUGUCCAUUAGUAGAGAUUGGCCAUGGGUGAGGAACAGAUGAAUUUUGGGUGCUAUCCAAGAUAUAUCUACAUUUUUAUUUUGUUUCUUUACAAAUAAAUCAUUAUUAAAAUUCACCUGUGCACAGCAUUUAUUAGACAGUGAUUUAUAAUUUCUUUUGGGUCUUCUCUGGAUUGUUGGACAAAUCUAACAGAAGGCGAUGAUGAAGAAAAGAAACAUUCUCCUUCAAAAUUGCAGAUCUCCUUGGUGAUUCACU